CGACGGUCAUCAAACAUCAUUGUAAAACCACCAUAAUCAUAGGUUUCAUCGUAAAAAUUGGGAUCAUAAGGCUGUGCACGUCCUUUGAUGGGAGACUAAAAACAGAGAUGGAACAAACUUACAGACUGAAGAAAAAGAGUCCUGCUUCAUACCAAUCCUUCUAACAUCAUCAUCAAACAAAAUGCAGUGAGGCAUAAACUGUUGGGACAUACCGCUCGGGGCCACUGCUGUCUGGGACUGAAACACUGGCAUUGUACUGCAUUGGUCAUUGGCGUUCGUGGAUGUUGGCAUUGGGCAUGGGCAUUCAAUCAGAAGUUGUCAAGUAUGGUACCCGUUUGGCAACGAGCACAUUUUUGGGCAUAGCCAACCAGGGUUUUCACAUGGGCGUUCAGGGGCGGAUGGGCCAACGUCAUGGUGGGCAACGCAGGGGUAAGUCGAUCCAGUACAUGGGCAACGGAGAUAUAUGGCCAAAAAAACAAGGAGAGGGAAAAGGGGGAAAAGCAAUAAAUUUUAAUUUAAUACAAACUAUAC